AUUGAACGCUGGCGGCAGGCCUAACACAUGCAAGUCGAACGGUAACAGGAAACAGCUUGCUGUUUCGCUGACGAGUGGCGGACGGGUGAGUAAUGUCUGGGAAACUGCCUGAUGGAGGGGGAUAACUACUGGAAACGGUAGCUAAUACCGCAUAACGUCGCAAGACCAAAGAGGGGGACCUUCGGGCCUCUUGCCAUCGGAUGUGCCCAGAUGGGAUUAGCUUGUUGGUGGGGUAACGGCUCACCAAGGCGACGAUCCCUAGCUGGUCUGAGAGGAUGACCAGCCACACUGGAACUGAGACACGGUCCAGACUCCUACGGGGGGCAGCAGUGGGGAAUAUUGCACAAUGGGCGCAAGCCUGAUGCAGCCAUGCCGCGUGUAUGAAGAAGGCCUUCGGGUUGUAAAGUACUUUCAGCGGGGAGGAAGGGAGUAAAGUUAAUACCUUUACUCAUUGACGUUACCCGCAGAAGAGGCACCGGCUAACUCCGUGCCAGCAGCCGCUGUAA
rnacentral:rRNA from 1 species